AUGACCGUCGCCGCCCUGCGCAGGGUCGCAGCCACCACCACGGCGCCCAAGGUCUUCCCGCUGGUUCCCGCUUGCGGGACCUCGGCCGGCUCCACAGUGGCCCUGGGGUGCCUGGUGUCCAGCUACUUCCCUGAGCCCGUGGUCGUGUCCUGGAAGGGGGGCUCCCUGGCCGGAGACCAGCGCAUCUUCCCGGCCGUGCAGCAGUCCUCUGGCCUCUACACCCAAAGCAGCAUGGUGACCGUGCCAGCCAGCUCGUCCAGCAACACCUACACCUGCAGCGUCUCCCACCCGGCCAGCAGCACCAAGGUGGAGAAGGCCGUCGUGCCGGGGACCCCCUCGCCAAACCCUGAGUGCAAGCCAAACUGCCAGUGCAAUGAUCCAGGGUUGCUGGCGGGGCCCUCCGUCUUCAUCUUCCCCCCGAAACCCAAGGACACCCUCAUGAUCUCCCUGACGCCUGAGGUCACGUGCGUGGUGGUGGACGUGAGCGCCGAGAGCCCCGAUGUCAAGUUCAGCUGGUACAUGAACAACGAGGAGGUGCAGGGCGCCCAGACCCAGCACCAGGAGGAGCAGUACAACAGCACCCUGCGCGUGGUCAGCACCCUGCCCGUGGCGCACCGGGACUGGCUGGCCGGGAAGCAGUUCAAGUGCAAGGUCACCAACGACGAGCUCCCGGAGCUGAUGCUGACCGACAGCUGUGAGGACGCCCAGGACGAGGAGCUGGACGGUCUGUGGACCACCCUGUCCAUCUUCAUCACCCUCUUCCUGCUCAGUGUGAGCUACAGCGCAGCUGUCACCCUCUUCAAGCCCCAGUGGCCUUGUGACCCCGCGGCCUCCCGUGACCCCCGCCCCACCAUCCCCUUGCCUCGGGGCCCCUGCUGGACUGGUGGCCGAGCCCCUCCCCCGCAGGUGAAGUGGAUCUUCUCGUCAGUGGUGGAGCUCAAGCGGACCAUCGUCCCCGACUACAGGAACAUGAUCGGGCAGGGGGCCUAG